GUCUUUUUGAGGAUGAUUUAAGGUCGGGCCUGCCCAAUGAUUGUUAAAUGGCCGCAGUAUUUUGACUGUGCAAAGGUAGCAUAAUCAUUAGUUUCUUAAUUAGGAGCUGGAAUGAACGGUUUGAUGAGAGGUUAACUGUCUCGGCUUGGUUGAUAUAGAAUUUUAUUUUUGAGUAAGAAAGCUUAAAUUUGGUAGAAAGACGAGAAGACCCUAUAGAGUUUAAUGGUUUGAAUGCUUUGGUUUUGAAGGAUUUAUGUUUUUUGAGCGUUUAUGCUAUUUUGUUGGGGUGAUGUAAAAAUUUGAUAAACUUUUUAUUUUUUUUAAACGCUAAUUGGCGUGUGGAUGAUCCCUUUAUUUGGAUUAUAAGAUUAAAUUACCUUAGGGAUAACAGCGUGAUUUUUUCUGAGAGUUCUUAUUGAUGAAGAAGUUUGCGACCUCGAUGUUGGAUUAAAAUUUACUUUUGGUGUAGCAGCUGAAUAGUUAGGUCUGUUCGACCUUUGAAAUUUUACAUGAUCUGAGUUUAGACCGGCGUGAGCCAGGUUGGUUUCUAUCUUUUAUUAUUUGGGUUGCCUUAGUACGAAAGGACCAGGUAGCUGAAUUGGAUUUUUUUUACUUGAAUGUUAUUAUUAUUUUGGCAGAUUAGUGCAAUAGAUUUAGAAUCUUUUUAUGUAGUUUAAAUUACAAGUAAUAUUGAUUUUAAGGGAUUUAGUUUUGCUUUAUGUUUCAAUGAUUAUUCUCGUGAUUUGUGUGUUAGUUGGAGUUGCUUUUUUAACACUUUUUGAGCGAAAGGUAUU
rnacentral:rRNA from 1 species